CCACAAAGUGAUGAGCUUAAGUGCCAAUUCUUGGAAGACCUUGCUGCGAGGCGUGCUUCUUGCCCGGGUCCAUGGAUGGUGUUGGGGGACUUUAACCUAAUUCUUCGAGCUUCGGAGAAUAAUAAUAAUAAUCUUAACAGGGCUAUGAUGAAUGCUUUCCAGCAGUUCGUCGACGAUCAUGAGCUCAAGGAGAUGUACAUGCACGGACAGAAGUUCACGUGGUCCAACGAGCGUGAGGUGCCUACCCUUACCAAGAUUGAUAGAGUCCUGAUCUCGGUGGACUGGGAGAUAGAGUACCCGGAUUAUUUGCUGUAG
rnacentral:rRNA from 1 species